rnacentral:rRNA from 1 species
AUGGAGGCCAGGGCGGCGUCGGCGGCGAGCGCGAGGGGCGUGGCGGCGCUCCUCGUCGCCGCCCUCCUGCUCGGCGCCCCCGUCUCCGCCUCGGCCGCGUCCUCGUACCCCGCAAAGGUUCUGGGCGGGCUCCUGACCAGCACGGCGACGGCGGUGGCCAAGAAGCUCUGGUCGCUCAAAUCGACCGCCAGGACGGCGACGGCGGCGGCGGCGUCCGGGAGGUCGAUGGUGAAGUACGAGGGCGGGUACGCGGUGGAGACGGUGUUCGACGGCAGCAGUCUGGGGAUCGAGCCGCACUCCGUCGAGCUCACCCCCGCCGGCGACCUGCUCCUGCUCGACUCCAUGAACAGCAACCUCUAUAGGGUCCAGCUGCCCUUGUCCCGAUAUAGCAGGCCGAAGCUUGUCGCUGGUUCGCUUGAAGGAUUAUCUGGUCAUGUUGAUGGUAGGCUCCGAGAGGCCAAGCUGAACCACCCUAAGGGAUUUACAGUCGACGACAGGGGCAACAUUUAUGUUGCAGACGCUAUGAACAUGGCGAUAAGAAAGAUCAGUGAUACAGGGGUCACAACCAUUGCUGGGGGAAAAUCAAUGAGAGGUGGACACAUGGAUGGACCCAGCGACGAUGCAAAAUUUUCAACAGAUUUUGAAAUCCGCUAUGUCAGCAGCAGCUGCUCCCUCUUGGUCAUUGACAGAGGAAACCAGGCAAUUCGGGAGAUUCCGCUCCAGCCUGAUGACUGUGAAUAUCAGGAUGAAGCUGGUUUCCCUCUAGGUGUUGCCUUGCUUUUUGCUGCUGGUUUCUUUGGUUACAUGCUUGCGUUGCUCCAGCGCCGUGUUUUAGGAAUGGUCUCAGCAACAGAGGAACCUCAGACGCCUCCAAGACCCAGCAAUGCAAGCAUCCCUCCGUACCAGCCAUACCAACCAUACCAGCAGCCAUUCAAGCCUUCGUUUGGCCCGCCGCUGAUCCCAAAUGAAGACGAAGCUGAAGAGGGAUUCUUCACCUCAGUGGGCAAGCUCAUGGGAGGAGCAAAAUCAUCCGUGGCAGACAUGUUCUCCCGAAAGAAGCGCCCCGCAAGACAGCACCAUCAGCAGCACCAGCAGAGAAGGGCUAGUCCUUGGCCAGUGCAAGAAAGCUACGCCAUCCCGCACGGGGAAACGCCUCCACCGCUGGACUCGAGAGGGCCAACCCCUCAGAAGAACUACGCCUUCGUGACGACGGAGCCUGAGAAGGCUCACCACGUCCGCCACGGGCAGCCUUAUCUCGGCGGCUGGGACGCACGCGGUCCUCAACCGCCGCCAGAGCAGCAGCAAGUGUAUCCCCACCACCACCAGCAGCAGCUGCAGCAGCACAGACAGCAGCUGGAGCAACAGGUGUACCGGCAGCAGCACAGGCAACCGCCGGAGCAGCAGGCGUACCACCUGCAGCAGCAGCACCAGCAGAGGCGGCAGCCGGAGCAGCAGAUGUACCAGCUGCAGCAGCACAGGCAGUACUCCUCCGGGCCGCAGACGUUCUACGAGCAGAGCUGCGAGACGACGAACGAGGUGGUGUUCGGCGCGGUGCAGGAGGUGGACAGCAAGCGGCGCAUGGUGGAGAUCAAGGCCGUCAACUACGGCGACACCUUCUACGAGCAGUACGGGAUGCGCUACCGCAACAACUACAUCGGCUACAACAGCAACAACUACUGA